rnacentral:misc_RNA from 1 species
GAUGAAGAACGCAGCGAAAUGCGAUAAGUAAUGUGAAUUGCAGAAUUCAGUGAAUCAUCGAAUCUUUGAACGCACAUUGCGCCCCUUGGUAUUCCGAGGGGCAUGCCUGUUCGAGCGUCAUUUUGACCACUCCCGCUUGCGGGGUCUUGGGCCUUCGCCUCUGGGCGGGCCUUAAAAUCAGUGGCGGUGCCGUCCGGCUCCGAGCGUAGUAAUUCUUCUCGCUCUGGAGGUCCGGUCGUGUGCUCGCCAGCAACCCCCAAUUUUUUUCAGGUUGACCUCGGAUCAGGUAGGGAUACCCGCUGAACUUAAGCAUAUCAAUAAGCGGAGGA